ACUUUUAUCUAAUUAUGUCUCUCACUAUUUUAUCGAACUUCAUAGCCCUCAUCUAUGAAAAUCGAGAAACAUACUAAUUUUUUUUAGUGAGGUUGAGAUCCGUAUUUCUUACAAACACUUUGUGGAUAGCACCACAAAUAUUUAUGAGUUCAAGAGUAGGUAACUCUUUACCAAUUAUACCUCUAUAAUUCUCAAUAUAUUUCUUUCUGGCCCCU
rnacentral:lncRNA from 1 species